ensembl:lncRNA
GCAGUCAUCUGGAGUAAACACCAGUGCUAGCAGUCAUCUGGAGUAAACACCAGUGCUAGCAGUCAUCUGGAGUAAACCCCAUUGCUUGCAGUUCUCUGGAGUAAACACCAGCGCUAGCAGUCCUCUGGAGUAAACAUAGGGCACUAGCAGAGCCAUUUCUAAAUAGAUAGGCUGUGAUGCUAGUGUAUAAGAUCCAAUCCCCCAGAAGUACAUCUCCUUGUUAUGUCAGUCACAGAAAACUUCUAUUAAGGCGUUUCUCAAUAUACAUUCUUCUCUGUGCUUACGUUCAUAUGAACUUGAGAAUCAUCAUCAGACCUCUCUCUUUAAUGGGGAGCAUAGGGCCAUCGCUUCUUCCCUCCAUGGGCCUCAAUCCAGGGCAAUCUUUUUUGCCUCUUCCCAGGUCAUGAAUGGUCUUCAGUUCUGAAAAAUAUAUAUAGUCUAAUUGGGCGGAAGUUUGACGUUUUUAGUGUUAGUGUGUUUAACAAAAAUAAAUGGGUUUUCACAAAAUCUCCAAAAAUAAGGUGCGAGCGAAACACCAGUAGAAAACCUGGGCAAACCGUGAAAGUGUGAUUCCACCCACUGGCCAGCUCUCAACUAAAACAAACGCCUCAACAUGAAAUCAACCCACACGUGACGGCAGCAAUAACCAGCAUUUACAGCACUGUCUUUAUUAACAAUAUUAAUACAAACCAAUGUCAAUUACAGAAGACAUUCCAAAGUUAACAGAUUUUCAUGGUUAAUAUAUUUGCUUUGAUGUUGUGAAUCACAUAAGUGAUCACCAAUACAUGGAGAAAAAAAAUCAACAGGAUUAAAAUAAAAAAAACUAAUUUUCUAUCCUUCCUUGGAGAAUCACAUAUUUCAAUCUUCAACGUGACUUAAAAUACAUCUAUUAUUACAACAUGAUACAAAUUGAAUAGAAAUAUUCAGAAUCGAGAUGCAUAUAUGUCAGCCUCCUGCCCGCCCCUGGCUCUGCAUCAGUUCGACUUGAAUGCGUUUGAACCGUUCGUGACUGUAGUGUUGGUUUGGUCGGCCCCUUUUGGUCUCUACAGGUCAGCUUUAAAGUCUCUUUUGGUCUCUAAAGGUCAGCUAGGGGUCGUCAGCGAGUUCUGCCUCUGUCCAGUGCGUUUACUGGCGGCCCGUGGAUCCUUUUUCGGGUUUGGGACGACGCUUUAUUUAUAAAUACAGAUUUCUGGAUUCAAUGGUGUUCAGAAUAAGGCAACAGAAAUGACGUUAUCGGAGGGAGACAAAAUAAAAACAAACGAAGGUGAUAUGACGAGCUUCGGCAGGCCUCAUGCAGGUGGGACAUUAUAUGGGCCUGAGAUCUCUGCUAGACACACACACACACACACACUCACACCCCUCUCCUGGACUUAUUCCUCUCUGAUUCCCAUCGGCAUAACCCCGGCAGUCCAAGAGAGCACUAGAGACAGGUUGCUAUCUUCCAACAGCAACAGAGCCAUAUAAACCACUGAUGCUACAGAUCAGAGAUCAUACACACCCACCCACACGUAUUAUGCUACAGGAACACACACACACACCUUUAACAGAGUCAGAGUGAGCGGAGAAGGCCCAGCCAGACAGCAGGAAGUGAGCGGUUUAGGGGUUAAGGGUUAAAGUUCAGGAUUAAGACCAGCGCGGGGCCCCUCUUUAUGCAGUGAGUCUGGAGAUGGUCUGGAAGUGUGCACCUCUCUUCCUGCCUCACCGUUACAAAGUGCAAAGACUGCCCUCUGGGGCGUUCUUCAUAUAUUACUGAAUCUGUUACAGGAGUUAAAACUCUACUAAUUAAUCACAAAGACUUUUAUUUUACAAGUACUCCAACAGGGCUGUGGUGGAGUUACAUAUGUAGCCCACGGCGGCCAUCAUGCCUUGAGGGUUAAAAUCCACUUUAAAACACAAACGGCUCUUCAGAGAUAAUGCCUGGCCUCCCUGCCCACCCCCACCCCUCAG